UGAUGUGUUAGACCUGAACUACCAACCCAAGAGAUCUAGCUAUGGGUUACCUGAGGACAAAUUUAUAUUUGCUUGUUUUAACCAGCAAUAAAAGAUGGAUCCUGAUAUUUUCAAUACAUGGUGCAACAUCCUUAAGCGAGUACCAAAUAGUGCACUUUGGCUUCUCAGAUUUCCUGCUGCUAGCGAGUCGAGACUCUGCAAUUAUGCUGUUCAAAGAGGUGUACAACCAGAUCAGAUUAUUUUCACAGAUGUUGCCAUGAAGGGUGAACAUAUCAAGCGCAGUGCUUUAGCAGAUUUAUUCUUGGACACGUAAGCAUGCUUAAUACUUUUUUUUUUCUAUUUUUUUAUUAUUCAAGUGUAUUUAUCUUAGUACAAUACAAUAUGUAACUUUAUUUUGACAUUUGAUGUUGCUAAUGCUGAUUGAUUUUUCUAUUGAUGUUUUGUUUCUUUAUUUUUUUUUGGUGGUGUGUGCUCUGUAGAAUUGCAUUUAGUUAGCUUAAUAUUUAGCUCAUAUUUUCUUUAGUCG